GUGCUCUCGCGAUACCUGGCUCCUGGGGUUUUCCCCAAAGCAGAGCCGCCACCGUGAUGACUUGCCGGGAAGCCUUCAAGGAGUCACUACUCCCAGACAGGUGGUUUGGGACAAUGUUCCCAGCAGCUGCUGAGACCACUUUUGGGGGGAGAGUCUCCCUGUCUCUCCCCUGCGCAGCACUGGCGGCAGUGUAUGCUUCUCCUUGGUGGAAUGGAAUCAUGCCUCUGGACAAGCUGACAAGCCCCGUGACCCAAGUUGGAAGCAUCUCACACCAAAGGCAAGCAUUCACAGAUGGCCCAGGAGAUUCACAACAAGUCCCAGGAGAUCUAAUACCAAAGCAGAGAAGUAACUGGAAGCCAGGGAGGUCAAGCCUCUGUGUCCCUUUGUAGGAGACACUCACGAAAGUUAUUUUUAUUUUCUUUCACCUCACUCCAGUCUACAACCCUCCCAGAAAGCUGCUUUAGCAAUGGCCUUGGGAAAGCUCUAUGCUGACAAAUUCAGUGCAUUGUUUUCCUCUUCUUGAGUAAUAUUAAUCACUCAAUCUUUUGUAACCCUUUGAGAUAGCCUCUCAUUCUUCCUUAACUCCUCUCUUCUUUCAGCAGCUCCAUAUUUUGUUGAUUUUCCUCUUACCUUCCUGGACAAGUCUUUCAUAUGUUCUUUCACAGUUUUCUCUUCUUCCAUUUGAAUUUUGAAUGUCAAAAUUCCCCAGGGCCAACCUGGACCCCUUCUCUUCUUUCUUGUGUUUUCUCCAUGGAUUACAUAAUCCAUCUUCAGACUUGUGUCAUCUAUAUGCUGGCGAGUGCCAAAU
ensembl:lncRNA